rnacentral:rRNA from 1 species
AAAUUGAAGAGUUUGAUCAUGGCUCAGAUUGAACGCUGGCGGCAGGCCUAACACAUGCAAGUCGAACGGUAACAGGAAACAGCUUGCUGUUUCGCUGACGAGUGGCGGACGGGUGAGUAAUGUCUGGGAAACUGCCUGAUGGAGGGGGAUAACUACUGGAAACGGUAGCUAAUACCGCAUAAUGUCGCAAGACUAAAGAGGGGGACCUUCGGGCCUCUUGCCAUCGGAUGUGCCCAGAUGGGAUUAGCUAGUAGGUGGGGUAACGGCUCACCUAGGCGACGAUCCCUAGCUGGUCUGAGAGGAUGACCAGCCACACUGGAACUGA